GUUCAGGUUGCAAAUCAAUGUAGGCAUGUAAUAUUUUUGAAGCGGUAGCUCAUCGAGUCGAUUGUUAUUGUUAUGUCAAACUAUUUAAUAAACUGAUGGAUGAUGAAAUUCUUUGCAUGACUGCGUAAUUUACCAUUGUCUUUAUAUUGAUGCAUCAAGUUAGUACAAAUAUGUGUCCACUACAAGGAAUUAUUUUAAAUACCUCUAUUGACAAAGGUUUGAUGAAGAGGUUGAAAUUGAAUUGACCAAAUGUUUAAGCAGUACAUUUUGAUUUUUAAGCUUACCUUGAGUCAAAAACUCUCAAAUGAAAACAAAAUUGUGAUAUCUUUAUUUUGUAGUCAUAUUUCCAUGCUUCUAACAUGUUGCUUGUCAAAGAUUAAUAAUCAUUGACAUGCACCCUAAUUAAGAUAUUCCGUUUCAUGGAAGACCUUCUACUUAUUGUGCAGGUAAAGAUCAUUCUAAUUAUUUUUCGUAAAUGUCACUUCCGAGAUAAUGUGAAUAGCACUGCGCAGCUGCGAAAUCAUUGAACUGCGAGCAGCCGAAGUGACAAGACGUGUUCUUGAUCGCUCUUUGCUUGUAAUACUCUUUGUGGGUUUUUUUAUUGGCGAGGUCAAUAUAUUUAUAUACUUUUAAUAGUAUAUAAACGAAUUCUGACGUGGUCAGAAAUUUAGUUUUGUGAAUCAAAUGGCCAAUUGUGUUUUUGAUAUGGUCAAAAACUCGUGGUGUUGUACCGAAACCACGUGCGUCAUGGCGGAUGCUAAUAUGGCCGUAGAGUCUCAAGUAGAUGAGAAAGCAGCGGAAGGGAAAAAGAAAGUCCCAACUAAAGGUGGUCUUCAGAGAAAACGAGCAGUACACGUUCUGCUUCGAAUUCCGCAUCCACGAGUUAUCAUGUGCAUAGUGAUCAUAGCAGCGAUGGCGGUGUACAUGACAGUGCACCAAACGCCGAGAUACUCAGUAUUUUGAGAACAAUUCAAGAGAAUCAAAAGAAAUAAGAUGAUAGAAUGGCUGAAAUAGAGAACAUGUGCUGUGACUAUCAGAAUCAAGAUGACUGUGAUGAUUACGGCGAUUUUAAUGACGACCCGGGAACUUCCGGUGAACAUUAUGAGACGGCUUCGAGGAAGCGCGCAUCUGAAGAUGUUGAUACUGACAAUAGGUAUGUCAAUGCAGGCAAAAAACUUAAAGUAAAAAAAAAUGUGUGAUAAACCUAUCCAUGACGAACUUGCUAAUUUAGUGACAGAUUGUUUCCAAGAAGGAAACGUAGAAGAACGAUAUGGUGAAUUGCUAAAAGCGAUAAAUCGCCCUGAAAACUGUCCUGCGUUAGUGACAGUCAAGACAAACAAAAUGGUGUGGGAUUUUUUUUGAGCCCAAUGACUAAGUCUUCUGACAAGAAGAUGCAGAAUAUUCAAACUUCUUUAUUUAAAGGUGCAUGCGCACUUACGAAACUUCAUAUUUACUCGGCAAGUGUAAUAAUCCCGAGAUUUUGGAUCUGCUGGGAAAUACCAUGGAAUCAUUGGCAUUACUUGGACAUGCUAAUAGACAGUUGUGUGUGUUACGUCGAGAGUCGAUGAAACCUGAUAGGAAAGUGAAUAUACUCACCUUUGUAGUCAUAAUUUAAAGUACACUGACUAUUUGUUUGGUGAUGAUGUACCAAAGAGAGUCAAAGAUAUUACUGAUUGUUCCAAAAUUAGUAACAAGAUUGGACUUGGCUUUAGAGGAGGGUUUUAUGGCCGUUCAACUCGAGGUUGAGCAAGAGGACGUUUUGUACGAGGUGCUGCAAGGGGUCGUGGACUCUACACAAGUUUGUCAGCAUAGUCAUGCAAAAAACUACGGUAACCAAUGGAGAGGCCUGCAGAGUCACCUCCCGAAGUAGUUGAGAAGAAAAUGGGAGGAAACUUUUCUUGUUCAAAGACACAACGAAGUGAAGUAACUAUGAAACGAAAGUGCAGUGCUUCAGUGGGCCCGUGGCCUACUGUAUUUACAGUGGAACACGAGCACAGUACUGUAACGGUUACAAGUGAAGAGCCCAUGGCUGAGGCUGAUCCCAAACUUUGUUUGACAUACUUGAUUGGAGACUUUGUCCUUGGUCUUCUAAGCAGGUUGUGGAACAUGAUAAGGAGGCUGACUGGCCUCUAAAACAUCCAGAUGACAGACUUUGUUUUGGGACUCAUGUCCAAGUGGUUCAUACCAAUUACUGCUUUUAAGGUAAUAAAACAUUGGCACAGAUGCAGUUUUUGCAAUCAAAGUAUCUUGCUUGUGAAAGAUCACAGUGAUAGCGAGUCGGUGAAUGACCUAUCAAAGAGGAGCGCUCUGGAUGAAACAAAAAAGCAGAAAAACUGGGAUGUGAACUUUCUACCUUGUGAUGAUAAUAAAGAUGGCUAACCAUUCAGAAUCUUUAAUAUUACAUUCCAGAAGUGUUGAUCCUGAAAGUGUAGAGAAUUACCAUCAAUAUUAUACAUGAAGAACCAAGACACUUUGAAACAAACACUGGUGAGGGUUAGAUAGAAAGAACCUAUCAUUAACUGGUGUUAAAAGUGGAUGAAAUGUAUAUAUGCAUUUAUAUUUUUCUUAGUGUUAGGCAUCUUUCUUUGUUUAUGAAAAGUAGGUCAACUUGCUCGCACUGUUGGUUCAAGAUAACUUGAAAUUUGUGCCAAUUCUUUUUAGAAAUAUUUGCAUAUUAUAAUAAAUUGAGAAAUUGAAUUUUGAAUUUGACUUUGAUUUAAGGAUCCUUGACACUCCAUGACUUCUACUUUUUAUGACAGUACGUCACAACAUGGCGAUUUUAGCGCAUUGUUAAACAGUUUAUGCCACCAAACUUUGUUGUCUAUAUGUAUCUCUGUGGCGCAGUGGGUGUUGCUUUGGUCUACCAAUCCGUAGGUCCUGAUUUCGAAUACUUCUGGGAUUUUUAUUUUCAUAAAUAGUGGUAAAAUUUUUAAAAAAACUGAUUUUUUCCCCAAUCAGUGAAUUUUUCUGGGUCAUUUUUAAGUUGAACACACACUAAAAUCCAUAUCUUUAUGUUAUUUUUAAAAAUGGGCUUGUAAGCAGAACUUUUUUCAGGUGUGUGGAUGACCCUUAAACCCAUUUUCAGGAAAAUUUAUCGUUGACCGUGAUUAUAAUAAGGGCCCCACUUUGUGGACGCCCUAUAGUGAUCAGUCUGUCCGUCCAUCCGUCCUUCCAUCAAUCCAAGUUUCAAGGUCAAAAUGAGAAGGUCAUAGCAGAAGUGUAUGAAAAAUCCUAGAUGUUCGGAGCAUAUCUUUUCUUCCUUUUUGUUCAACCUGGCUCAUACUUCACUCACAGAGUUCCUACUAUAAAAGGGUGUGCAGUGACCUUGAAUGAUGUUUGUAGGUCAAGUGUCAAGGUCAUAUUGGAUCACACAAAAGUCAUUUUUUCAGAGCAUAUAUAUACUCUCCACUUGGCCCUAUUUGACUCCUUCUUCACAUUAACAAAGCUUUUAGGUUAAUGGUGUGCAGUGACUUUAUGGUGUUAGGGUAUGUGUCACACAAACCAACUCCUAUACAGGUCAACUUGUAUAAAAAAAAUUCUGGUAUAAAAAAACAAAAGUCAACUUGUAUACAUAAAAUUCUUAUAUAAAAAACCGAAAGUCAACUCGUAUAUACGAAUCUUUUUUUAUAAUAUCAUUACAGAUUGUCAUUUGAAGAAAAUGAAAGUCAACUCGUAUACAUGAAAUAUAAGACGAUAUUUAUCACUUCUAUUAAUAAAAUAUUUAUACCAUGUAUAAGUAAGCAUUUAUUUAUCAUUAAACUAACGAUGUAAAAUAACGCAAAGAUUUAAUUGAUAUUAAAUUCUGCUAAGUCCAUUCCAAGUUUUUUCUUUGUUUAGCGUCCGUGGACGGAUUGGUUUUGAGAUGUAAAAAUAAAAAAAAAAAAAAAAAUUGUUGUUCAUAAAAUUGAAUCGCUUUUUCACAUGUCGGGCUCAGGAUCGCAUGUUUUAAUCCGGAUAAAAAAUCAAAUAUAACAACAUUCAAAAUGGAAAUCAUAUAGUAGGCAUUUGUUAUUUUUGUAUUUUUGUUACAUUAAAAUGAAGAAAAUAUUUCAAAAUAUAUAACAAAUUUUAUUUAUUUGAACCUUUAAAUUUGUGCUUUUUUUUCUAAGGUUUUUUUUUCUGAUAGAAAGACAGGUUUUGAGUUUUUGGUGGACGCUUAACAAAGAAAAAACAUGCAGUGGCCUAAUCCAGUUAUCUUAAUUCUUUCUAGACAUUACAACAUUAAUUUUUAAACAACAAACAUGACGUUUCUUGGUUCUCCUAAACGUUGACCUGUCCAAGGCUAUCUUAGAUACUCUUAAUGAUUUGCCAUUUUCAAAGUAAAUAUAAGUAAUAAACAGCAAUGUUAAAAAGUUCACUGGGAUAUGAACUUGGUUGAUCAAAAGCCCUUCCGGCUUCGCAAGAUUUGAUCACGUGACCAGUCAAGUUCAUAUCCCGGUGAACUUUUUAAAUUGCUGUUUAUUUUUUAAGAAUCAUUGAAACUUCUUCAUUUACACAAGUAUUGCUAAUGACCUAGGGUGUGUCAUGAUUUUGACCUAAGGUCAAUUGAGCAAGUUCAAGGUCAUUGGCAAGAAAAAGUUCAAAAUUUUGUCAGGUCUUUACCCUUCUUAUGGCGAAACAAUGGAAGUGCAUACUUCACAAAAAGAUUGCCUAUUACCUGAGGAUGUGGCAUGAACUUGACUUGGGUUCAGUUGUGCAAGUUCAGGUCAUUUUCAAUUUAAAAAAAAAAUCAUAAUUCCUGUUUAGGCGGCAUAUCUUAUAAUGGAAAAUUAUUAGGACUUAAAUUGAAAUUGACCUGAAGAUUGCUUGAGACCCGUAAAUAUGUCUUGAUCAUGAGCUUUGGUCAUUUAUUAAGUCACCUGAGUAAACUCAGGUGACCUAUUGCUAUCCGUUUUCAUCCGCCGUCAUGGAUUCUAAAUUGUGAAAUUCAUGGUUCUACUACCCCUGGGGCGCUACAUGUAGGGCCAAAUAUGCAAAAAAAGCCAAAUUUUCAAAAAUCUUCUUCUUUGCUCCCACACAUGUGAGGAAAAAACUGGUUGCAUAGUUGUGAUGUCCAUGAAGCCCUCUACCGAAUUUGUGAAAUUCAUGACACCUGGUUCAGGGGUUCUGGCUCUAGGGUGGGGCCAAUAUGGCCAUAUAGUAAAAAUGUAUUAUCUUUAAAAAAUCUUUUUCUUUACUCCCAAACAUGUGAGCAGAAAGCUUAAUACAUGGUUAUGAUGUACACUAACUCCUCUACCUCAAUUGUGAUAUUCA